GAACGCCUAAUGCGGUGAAAGCUGCACGUUGGGUGUGGAGCAGGGGAAAAGAUGGAGAUAACUUCAAAGUCUUACCUAUUGCUAU
rfam:Lysinibacillus sphaericus OT4b.31 genomic scaffold Ls31_scaffold1, whole genome shotgun sequence.